GAUUUAUGUUGUGUGAUGAGAACGAGAAACAUUCACCCCGUCUCCGCACAAUCUCAACCCAGAAUAUAAAACAGAAUAAUUUUCAUUUUACCCCUCUCCGUCUUGAAUUUAGUCAAUAAGAAAUAUUAAGUAGCCCAAGUUAGCGUCAAAGCUGGCUGGCUGGCGAACUGAUUUGCUGAUAUUUUUUUACUGGCUCAUUGUUAAGUUAGCAGGCUACAUACUAGCUAGUUAACUUACCAUCUGGGUAGCUGAUUAGCUAGCUAUCUGGUAAGCUGGUUUCGUGGUUAAAUUGCUAUUUGAUUAGACUGCUUUCUACUUAGCUUGCUAACUUGCUAGCUUUUAGCUAUCUGGUUAUUUGGUUAGCUGGUUAGCUAACUAGUUGGUUAUUUGGGUAGCUCUCUGUUUGGUUAGCUGGCUAGGUUGUUAGUUUGCUUGCUGUUAUUCAAGGUUUCUUCUUAUAUCUGGUGUAAAGAUAUAUUCAGAUUUAUCUAUUUUCUGACAUCAGUUAAACAGUUAUUGCAACUAUUAGUUAUUAUUUUAUCACACUUGAUGAUUUACAUAAAAAUUACUUCGUUGUUCUAAUAAAUUUGUAUAAAUGUAA